rnacentral:rRNA from 1 species
UACGUAGGGUGCAAGCGUUGUCCGGAAUUAUUGGGCGUAAAGAGCUCGUAGGCGGUCUGUCACGUCGGCUGUGAAAUCCCGAGGCUCAACCUCGGGUCUGCAGUCGAUACGGGCAAACUAGAGUAUUGCAGGGGAGACUGGGAUUCCUGGUGUAGCGGUGAAAUGCGCAGAUAUCAGGAGGAACACCGGUGGCGAAGGCGGGUCUCUGGGCCGAUACUGACGCUGAGGAGCGAAAGCGUGGGGAGCGAACAGG